CAGCAGCCGCGGGAAUACGGAGGGUGCAAGCGUUAUCCGGAUUUAUUGGGUUUAAAGGGUCCGUAGGCGGAUCUGUAAGUCAGUGGUGAAAUCUCACAGCUUAACUGUGAAACUGCCAUUGAUACUGCAGGUCUUGAGUAAAUUUGAAGUGGCUGGAAUAAGUAGUGUAGCGGUGAAAUGCAUAGAUAUUACUUAGAACACCAAUUGCGAAGGCAGGUCACUAAGAUUUAACUGACGCUGAUGGACGAAAGCGUGGGGAGCGAACAGGAUUAGAUACCCGAGUAGUCCCUGUCUCUUAUAA
rnacentral:rRNA from 1 species